rnacentral:rRNA from 1 species
UACGGGGGGGGCAAGCGUUGUUCGGAAUUACUGGGCGUAAAGGGCUCGUAGGCGGCCAACUAAGUCAGACGUGAAAUCCCUCGGCUUAACCGGGGAACUGCGUCUGAUACUGGAUGGCUUGAGUUCGGGAGAGGGAUGCGGAAUUCCAGGUGUAGCGGUGAAAUGCGUAGAUAUCUGGAGGAACACCCGUAGCGAAGGCAGCUCGCUGGGACGGUACUGACGCUGAGACGCGAAAGCGUGGGGAGCAAACAGG